UACAGAGGGUGCGAGCGUUAAUCGGAAUUACUGGGCGUAAAGCGCACGUAGGUGGCGACGUAAGUCGGGUGUGAAAUCCCCGGGCUCAACCUGGGAACUGCAUUUGUGACUGCAUGGCUGGAGUGCGGCAGAGGGGGAUGGAAUUCCACGUGUAGCAGUGAAAUGCGUAGAGAUGCGGAGGAACACCGAUGGCGAAGGCAGCCCCCUGGGCUGACACUGACGCUCAGGCACGAAAGCGUGGGGAGCAAACAGG
rnacentral:rRNA from 1 species